rnacentral:rRNA from 1 species
UACGGAGGGUGCUCGCGUUGUCCGGAAUCAUUGGGCGUCAAGGGCGCGUAGGUGGCCUGGCAAGCGUGCGGUGAAAGCUCGGGGCUCAACCCCGAGUCGGCCGUGCGAACUGCUAUGGCUCGAGCACUGUAGAGGCAGGCGGAAUUCCGGGUGUAGCGGUGGAAUGCGUAGAGAUCCGGAAGAACACCGGUGGCGAAGGCGGCCUGCUGGGCAGUUGCUGACACUGAGGCGCGACAGCGUGGGGAGCAAACAGG